AUGAACGCUGGCGGCGUGCCUAAUACAUGCAAGUCGAGCGAACAGACGAGGAGCUUGCUCCUCUGACGUUAGCGGCGGACGGGUGAGUAACACGUGGAUAACCUACCUAUAAGACUGGGAUAACUUCGGGAAACCGGAGCUAAUACCGGAUAAUAUAUUGAACCGCAUGGUUCAAUAGUGAAAGACGGUUUUGCUGUCACUUAUAGAUGGAUCCGCGCCGCAUUAGCUAGUUGGUAAGGUAACGGCUUACCAAGGCAACGAUGCGUAGCCGACCUGAGAGGGUGAUCGGCCACACUGGAACUGAGACACGGUCCAGACUCCUACGGGAGGCAGCAGUAGGGAAUCUUCCGCAAUGGGCGAAAGCCUGACGGAGCAACGCCGCGUGAGUGAUGAAGGUCUUCGGAUCGUAAAACUCUGUUGUUAGGGAAGAACAAAUGUGUAAGUAACUAUGCACGUCUUGACGGUACCUAAUCAGAAAGCCACGGCUAACUACGUG
rnacentral:rRNA from 1 species